ensembl:lncRNA
CUCAUUUAAUGGUUGGCAAGGGAGGUAAUGGUAUCUCUCUGGAGGUCCCUGUGUAUCUUUGGCCUUCCAAUGGGAAGCACUUGGAAAUAUAUAUAUAUAUUUGCAAGGAGUAUUAAUUUCAUGAGGAAAACAAAGCCCUUGUUUCUUCACAUUGCUUUUACCUGGCUGGGACGUCUGGAGGCGGAGGAGAGCAAAGAGGAUGAGCAUUGCCAUUUCACCAGGUGCUGAGGCCACGGCUGGGGGAGCUUCUGGAGCCCAGGUCCUUGCCUGGCACUAGCAAUUAAUAUUUUCAUCAAGAAAGCCUGGUAGCUUUGAUUCUUCUCCAAAAAGCAUGAAAUUUUGCACUUUGGGAAAGUUUUACAGACAUAGAAAUGGCGGGAAGACUGGGAUCCCAUCUGCUCUGUGGCGCUCAGUGCCCUGACAGGACGCUGAGGUAACCCUGUGCCAACGGCCGCUACCACACACUGCCAGCCUGCCCCGGCUCCUGCUGCAGUGACCUCCAAAGAGAGAUCCCGGCUCAGAACGGUGCUGGCUGUGCUGCCAGCAAGAACUAGCCUGUGCCUUGUAGCUUCCUCCUGAAUGGAAACUGUGUAACUAGUGGUGAGAGCAGAACCGUUCAGAGAGGUUUGCUUUGAUCCCUGUGACGUGCUGAGGUGGCCAAGAUGGCGAUGAUGGCUGAGGAGCGGGGCACGGUGCAGUCAGCACCAGGCUGGGCUCAUAUCCUCUGUGUGCCCUCUGCUACGGUGAUGUUCUGUGAGGGGCAGGGAAGGCAGUGCCUGUGAGGACGUGCCACCUCCCGCCUAGGCAGCCAG